rnacentral:lncRNA from 1 species
UGGCAAAGGAGUGCGGAGCAGUUUAGUCGGCCCAUUCGAGUCGAUUUCAGGGUCUCAGGAGAUAACGCGGAGAUUAACGAAGGGGUCGUGUCAAUUAUCGGCUCAAGGAUAAAGGAACGCGGAGCAAUCUAAAAGCGACUCGAAGUUUUGGGAGAUUUUUUUUUCAGAGAGUUGGCGCGUCGGUCAUGAAGAUAGGGAAAAAUCAGGCCGGGAAGUUGUUUUCAAGGCGGGGCUUUGUGCGUCGCCUGGCAACGGACUGGUUUUUCCACAGGCCGUGUGAGGCCAAGGCCUACUUAAUGCUUAAGACCUGUAAACUGAAAUACCUCCUAUGGCGGUGAUCCGUAACCUGGCAACAGCCAAUGAGAGGAAAGGGUUACGACUGCACUUUCUGGCGCUCGACAAUGCUAUCUCGUUGAAGACCCAAUUGGCGUCUGCUAAAAUGAAAACUAUCUGAGCGUUGAGUGAAGGGCUGAAGGCUGCAAGAGGGCAACGACACGCCGUGUGUUUCGGCUUGUUUCGACGGAUUGUUAUAACCAGGGUUUUAAAAAAAAUUGUAAUUGAAAAAAGUUAAGAAAUCAGUCCUGAGUUUAAUAAUUCAUUCAGUUGUGCAUAUGUACCUCAACGGAAAGCCAUACGCUUUUUAAAAAAAGAACAACACAAACUGAAGGAAAGAUGAAACAUGGAGUCAUUUCAUGGUAUGAGGGUCCUGGCUCUACGUUCCUUAUUAGCUGGAUGAAAGCUAUUUCUUGUUUUGUUCAAAAUGGAAUGUAGCUUCUUCUUGUUCGCCAAUAUUGGUUUGAGAAAUUUUUUUAAUAUGAUCAUAAUUAAAUCUUUGUUGUUUUCACCAGGUCUUGCCACUUCACAUACAAAAGUGCUGUAUGUCUCAAUGUGGGAAAGAAGGAAUCCAAACAGUCCCUUCAGCAAGAAAGUCGACUUUGAAAUCUGUGAAAGAAUUUCCUUUACAAAAAAGUACACUGUCCAGAGCCGGGAAACAUACUCAUCUGUUGGGUACAAAAGUUCACCAGGGUCUAGAACAAACAGUUACAGUAGGUAGUAGGAGUUAGACAUUAUUACAAUUUUGUUAUUGAUAGAUUACCUAGGCGAUAAAUCAACUGCAUCAGUGAGUCAAAACUUUUUGUCCUCUGGAAUCUAGCGAUACAGUCAACGCAAAAUUUCUGCUCCACCAGAACGCGUAUAGUGUAUCCAGCUAGAAAAGCCGCAGUGCUUGAUUGUGAUGAUGGCUGCAGCUUUUCUGUAAAAAAAAAAUUAUUCUUUGGACAAGAAACAGCGUUUUUUCCAUCAGAUGCUGUACAUGAAGGUUUUUUUAAUUGCUCGAGUAUCCGAAAAAAUAAAGCUGAUUCGCGUGACAAGAUUGUAUUGCCGUAAAUGGAUUUGUAGGCUAUGCCUGUACGAAGGAUCUUCUCAAAUGCCUGUGAAACUGCCGUUGCGUACCCCUUAAAGUUUCCUCCAAUCAUCUGGUGAAUGGCACCAAUCAACUGCUCUACAGGAUCACUGGAGAAUCUCCUUAACCCCAUUCUACAACGAGACCAGCUUCGUCGUCCUGUGGCCAAUUGGAUAUAUCUACCCAGUCAUCAUGUCGUUCAACGCGCUGGCGUUGCUGAAUCAAAGCUGUUCGUCUACUCGAUGAGUUUGCAGCGAUUACAAUCGACACUUUCGUUGUUGGGGCAGUAGUUAGAGUCGGCAGAAUCUUUGCUGGAGUUGCUGGAUUAGUCCCUAAAUUUAUGAAGGAGGUAGUCGCAAUGGAAAUCAGUGGAUUUAUGGGUGGGAUUAGAUUAUUCCUGAAACCAUCGUUUGAAUCAUCUGAUUCGUAUCUGGAGUCUGUAGCGGAACCUGCCGGUUCAUUGAUGACAUGGGAUUUUAGUGAAAGCUGUGUGCGUAUAGGGGAUGCAGGUGAAUUUCGAACUGGGGGAAAUGCUUUGUGGGUCGGAGAACAAGCAAACCGACGGAUCGGUGUGAGUACUUGCCUGGCAUUUGGAGAAUCGUGUGCUGGAGUGGCUGCUGAACUUUGGAUAGAAGUCGACGUUUGCUGUAACUGUCUAAGUUCCAUGUUUGAGCUGCAAUGACAAAGGUACGUAUGUCAUUUUAUUAUUGUAUGUCAUGAGUUUUAAUAUUGCCUUUUGUCCAUAUUUUCCAUUAGAUAUUGUAACGCUUAAAUAUUAUUGUUAAAUAAAAGAGAAUAACAUUGCC